rnacentral:rRNA from 1 species
AAAUGAAUAGACGGGGGCCCGCACAAGCGGUGGAGCAUGUGGUUUAAUUCGACGCAACGCGAAGAACCUUACCAAGGCUUGACAUCCUACUAACGAGGCAGAGAUGCGUCAGGUGCCCUUCGGGGAAAGUAGAGACAGGUGGUGCAUGGUUGUCGUCAGCUCGUGUCGUGAGAUGUUGGGUUAAGUCCCGCAACGAGCGCAACCCUUGCCUUCAGUAGCCAGCGCGUAGAGGCGGGGACUCUGGAGGGACUGCCGUGGAUGACACGGAGGAAGGUGGGGACGAUGUCAAAUCAUCAUGCCCUUUAUGUCUUGGGCUACACACGUGCUACAAUGGCGCCAACAGAGCGAAGCGAAGCUGCGAAGCGGAGCAAAGCGCAAAAAAGGCGCCUCAGUUCGGAUUGCAGGCUGCAACCCGCCUGCAUGAAGUCGGAAUCGCUAGUAAUCGCGAAUCAGCAUGUCGCGGUGAAUACGUUCCCGGGCCUUGUACACACCGCCCGU